rnacentral:lncRNA from 1 species
CUCACAGACAGGAAGACAGUGAGCAGCACCUGUGUAACCUCACAGACAGGAAGACAGUGAGCAGCACCUGUGUAACCUCACAGACAGGAAGACAGUGUUCAACGUGCUUCAUUCAGAACAACCUUUGGUCCGACAGAAAACAACAUUCAUUCAAACCAUUAUGCAACCUCUCUGUUGGAGUUAGAGGCUGGGGACGAUGUUGACAGUGGAACACUUUGUAACCUCCGGACUAAACUGUUGCUGUUAGCAGGUACUAUGUCUUUUUGUAACACUGUCUAUGGGUUGUUUAGAACAAACAGUGGGACCUCUAAGAUGAUAGAGGGAGAGAGAGACACGGGACCAGAACAGGACAGUUCUUUUGUGUCAGUGUUUUUGGAGGAAAUGUAAAGGAUACAUUUUAUACAAAAGUGAAGCCGCUUCAAAUACCCAAAACCCCUUGUCCCCUGAGCCUUCCCAAUCCCAAACAUAUACCCAGCCCUGCCCAGCCUCUACACUCACGUCACCUGGUCUAACCUAUUCAUGACAGGAUAUACCCAGCCCUGCCCAGCCUCUACCCUCGCUUCACCUGGUCUAACCUAUUCAUGACAGGAUAUACCCAGCCCUGCCCAGCCUCUACCCUCACUUCACCUGGUCUAACAUAUUCAUGACAGGUCUAACCUAUUCCUGACAGGUCUGGUCUAACCUAUUCCUGACAGGUCUGGUCUAACCUAUUCCUGACAGGUCUGAUCUAACCUAUUCCUGACAGGUCUGGUCUAACCUAUUCCUGACAGGUCUGAUCUAACCUAUUCAUGACAGGUCUGGUCUAACCUAUUCAUGACAGGCCAGGUCUAACCUAUUCAUGACUGGUCUAACCUAUUCAUUACAGGUCUGGUCUAACCUAUUCAUGACAGGUCUAACCUAUUCAUGACAGGUCUAACCUAUUCAUGACAGGUCUGGUCUAACCUAUUCAUGACAGGUCUGGUCUAACCUAUUCAUGACAGGUCUGGUCUAACCUAUUCCUGACAGGUCUGGUCUAACCUAUUCCUGACAGGUCUGGUCUAACCUAUUCAUGACAGGUCUGGUCUAACCUAUUCAUGACAGGUCUGGUCUAACCUAUUCCUGACAGGUCUAACCUAUUCAUGACAGGCCAGGUCUAACCUAUUCAUGACAGGCCAGGUCUAACCUAUUCAUGACAGGCCUGGUCUAACAUAUUCAUGACAGGCCAGGUCUAACCUAUUCAUGACAGGCCUGGUCUAACCUAUUCAUGACAGGCCAGGUCUAACCUAUUCAUGACAGGCCAGGUCUAACCUAUUCAUGACAGGCCUGGUCUAACCUAUUCAUGACAGGCCAGGUCUAACAUAUUCAUGACAGGCCAGGUCUAACCUAUUCAUGACAGGCCUGGUCUAACCUAUUCAUGACAGGCCAGGUCUAACCUAUUCAUGACAGGCCUGGUCUAACCUAUUCAUGACAGGUUUGGGUAAAUAACAGGAGAAAUGUGAUGACUAAAACACCAGAGAACUGGGGAGAAAAUAGGAGUCAACGUCAUAAACUGACUGACAUACAAUGAGUGUACAAAACAUUAAGAACACCUUCCUAAUAUUGACUUGCACCCUUUUGCCCUCAGAACAGCCUCAAUUUGUCGGGGUAUGGACUCUACAAGGUGUUGAAAGCGUUCCACGGGGAUGCAGUUGUGUCAAGUCAGCUGGAUGUCCUUUGGUUGGUUAACCAUUCUUGAUACACACGGGAAACUGUUGAGCGUGAAAAACCCAGCAACGUUGCAGUUCUUGACACAACGGUGCGCCCAGCACCUACUACCAUACCCUGUUCAAAGACACAUUUUUCUUGCCCACUCACCCUCUGAAUGUCCCACAUACACAAUCCAUGUCUCAAUUGUCUCAAGUCUUAAAAAUCCUUCUUUAACCUGUCCUUCACUGAUUGAAAUGGAUUUAACAAGUGACAUCAAUAAGGGAUAAUAGCUUUCACCUGGUCAGUCUAGGGGUGGCAGGUAGCCUAGUGGUUAGAGCGUUGGACUAGUAACCAAAAGGUUGCAAGAUCGAAUCCCUGAGCUGACAAGGUACAAAUCUGUCGUUCUGCCCCUGAACAAGGCAGUUAACCCACUGUUCCUAGGCCGUCAUUGAAAAUAAGAAUUUGUUCUUAACUGACUUGCCUAGUUAAAUAAAAGUAAAACGUAAUGGAAAGAACAGGUGUUUUUGUACACUCAUAAUGUUUUGUACACUCAGUGUAUAUGUAAAUAAAUGAAAUGUAUACACACAUUGAAAUGAAUUUCAAACCCAUUGAAGUGAAUGUAAUGUAUUUCAACACAGGGUAUUACAUUUGUAAAAAUGAAUCAAUCACUCACCACCAGCAUUUACUACAGGACUGAGUUCACGUCUCCGUGUUUCACAGCUGUGUUGUGAUUGGAUACGUUUUGCAGUUCUGGGCUCUCAUUGGAUGAUUUUGCCAGUUGUGGGCUUUCAUCUCACCCUGUGUCACUUGUUCUCAUUGAGUUAUUUGUUGUAAAUUGUCGCCAGCUGUUACUGUGUUAGACUGUCCUAUUAGGUCUCUGUUCUGUCUGUCACUCUGUCAGACUGUCCUAGCAGGACUCUGUUCUGACUGUCACUCUGUCAGACUGUCCUAGCAGGUCUCUGUUCUGACUGUCACUCUGUCAGACUGUCCUAGCAGGUCUCUGUUCUGUCUGUCACUCUGUCAGACUGUUCUAGCAGGACUCUGUUCUGUCUGUCACUCUGUCAGACUGUCCUAGCAGGACUCUGUUCUGACUGUCACUCUGUCAGACUGUUCUAGCAGGUCUCUGUUCUGACUGUCACUCUGUCAGACUGUUCUAGCAGGUCUCUGUUCUGACUGUCACUCUGUCAGACUGUUCUAGCAGGACUCUGUUCUGACUGUCACUCUGUCAGACUGUCCUAGCAGGACUCUGUUCUGACUGUCACUCUGUCAGACUGAUCUAGUAGGACUCUGUUCUGACUGUCACUCUGUCAGACUGUCCUAGCAGGACUCUGUUCUGUCUGUCACUCUGUCAGACUGAUCUAGUAGGACUCUGUUCUGACUGUCACUCUGUCAGACUGUCCUAGCAGGACUCUGUUCUGUCUGUCACUCUGUCAGACUGUCCUAUUAGGUCUCUGUUCUGUCUGUCACUCUGUCAGACUGUCCUAUUAGGUCUCUGUUCUGUCUGUGACUCUGUCAGACUGUUCUAGCAGGACUCUGUUCUGACUGUCACUCUGUCAGACUGUCCUAGCAGGUCUCUGUUCUGACUGUGCUAGCAGGACUCUGUUCUGACUGUCCUAGCAGGUCUCUGUUCUGACUGUCCUAGCAGGUCUCUGUUCUGACUGUCCUAGCAGGUCUCUGUUCUGACUGUCCUAGCAGGUCUCUGUUCUGACUGUCCUAGCAGGUCUCUGUUCUGACUGUCCUAGCAGGUCUCCACAGCAUUCUGGGAGUACUGUUCUGUCUGUAAAGUCAAAUCCCC